rnacentral:rRNA from 1 species
UUUGUUGGUUUGCGCACCGAGGUAAUGAUUAAUAGGGACAGUUGGGGGUAUUCGUAUUCCAUUGUCAGAGGUGAAAUUCUUGGAUUUCUGGAAGACGAACUACUGCGAAAGCAUUUACCAAGGAUGUUUUCAUUAAUCAAGAACGAAAGUUAGGGGAUCGAAGAUGAUUAG